GGGCAAUUAGCUUAAGAAAAGCAUUUGAUUUCGGCUCAAAAACUUGUGGUUAAACCCCACAAUUGCCCU
rnacentral:tRNA from 1 species